rnacentral:rRNA from 1 species
GGUAAAGUAAGCUUGCUUACUUGAGACCGGCGCACGGGUGCGUAACGCGUAUGCAAUCUGCCUUGUACAAGGGGAUAGCCCAGAGAAAUUUGGAUUAAUACCCUAUAGUAUAUGAUUUUGGCAUCACUAUCAUAUUAAAGAUUUAUCGGUACAAGAUGAGCAUGCGUCCCAUUAGCUAGUUGGUAUGGUAACGGCAUACCAAGGCAAUGAUGGGUAGGGGUCCUGAGAGGGAGAUCCCCCACACUGGUACUGAGACACGGACCAGACUCCUACGGGAGGCAGCAGUGAGGAAUAUUGGUCAAUGGGCGCAAGCCUGAACCAGCCAUGCCGCGUGCAGGAUGACGGUCCUAUGGAUUGUAAACUGCUUUUAUACGGGAAGAAACCCUCCUUCGAGAAGGAGCUUGACGGUACCGUAAGAAUAAGGAUCGGCUAACUCCGUGCCAGCAGCCGCGGUAAUACGGAGGAUCCAAGCGUUAUCCGGAAUCAUUGGGUUUAAAGGGUCCGUAGGCGGUUUUAUAAGUCAGUGGUGAAAUCCGGCAGCUCAACUGUCGAACUGCCAUUGAUACUGUAGAACUUGAAUUAUUGUGAAGUAACUAGAAUAUGUAGUGUAGCGGUGAAAUGCUUAGAGAUUACAUGGAAUACCAAUUGCGA